UCUCAAUCCCCUGGCACAUGCAGCAGCAGGUGGCAGUGGUGCCCAGAUAGCCCAGAAGACAUCAGAGAGAAGUGGAUGGGGGAGUAGAAGAUUGCAGCUCCCUGCAUUGACUCUUAGAAGAUUUCUCAGGUGUCCACAUUUCUAUGUGUGGUCCAUAGUUAUGCUUCACAGCAUCUUCACCCAACAGCCCCAGGAGAUCCAGUACUUCCAGUGUAGUCCAGGCAGGAGCGCAUCCAGUAUCUCUCGGUGUGCGUGGAGCCAGCAUGGUUGGUGGGGCGCCGGUUGCACUCAACAAAGGUGAGCCGCUUGGUGUGCUUAUGAGGUGUAAACCAGACCAGAGUGAGUGUGGGAAGUAACCACACCUGCACCAACAUGUGCACGUUACCAUGGGGAUGUACCACGCCUACAUCAAUGUCUGCGAGUGAGCAUGGGGACUGGCCAUGCCCAAAUGGACGUGUGCAGAAGCCAUUGAUGAUUUGAAGGCACAAGGAAAUGUAACAGUCCUCUGCACUGUUAUGCCCUCUUCCAAUUGAGAUUCUCAAAGCACUUUACAAACAUAAAUCAGUUGCUUAUAACUUUACCCAACUCUGAGUGUUCAGGCUAAAGUUUUCCAUCCCAGGUGUCUCACUCAAGGCUGAAUACAUUUGGAAAAUUUUCAGCCAAAAGUGUUGGGCUGUUUCUGAG